CCCUUAGAUGUUCUGGGCGGCCCGCGCACUACAAUGGCGCUUUCAGCGAGUUCCUAUGUUGAAUUUUCCUUGGUAUUCUUGGAAGCGGCGUCUUGACUUGGGAUAGAUCCUUGUAAUUGUUGGUUUUGAACGAGGAAUUCCUUGUAAUCGCGGUUGAUCAGCUCGCGUUGAAUACGUCCCUGCCCUUUGUACACACCGCCCGUCGCUCCUACCGAUUGAAUGUUCCGGUGAGCUCUUCGGACUGCGCGGUCUGCAGUUUCUGCGUUCCGUGCGGAAAGUUGCGCAAACCUUAACAUUUAGAGGAAGGAGAAGUCGUAACA
rnacentral:rRNA from 1 species